GGUUGACCUCGGAUCAGGUAGGGAUACCCGCUGAACUUAAGCAUAUCAAUAAGCGGAGGAAAAGAAACCAACAGGGAUUGCCUCAGUAACGGCGAGUGAAGCGGCAACAGCUCAAAUUUGAAAUCUGGCCCUCGCAGGGUCCGAGUUGUAAUUUGUAGAGGAUGCUUCGGGUUCGGCUCCGGUCUAAGUUCCUUGGAACAGGACGUCACAGAGGGUGAGAAUCCCGUACGUGACCGGCCGCCAUGCCCGUGUGAAGCUCCUUCGACGAGUCGAGUUGUUUGGGAAUGCAGCUCAAAAUGGGUGGUAAAUUUCAUCUAAAGCUAAAUACUGGCCAGAGACCGAUAGCGCACAAGUAGAGUGAUCGAAAGAUGAAAAGCACUUUGGAAAGAGAGUUAAAAAGUACGUGAAAUUGUUGAAAGGGAAGCGCUUGCAACCAGACUUGCCCGCGGGUGAUCAGCCGGUAUUCUUACCGGUGCACUCGCCCGUGGUCAGGCCAGCAUCGGUUUGGGCGGCUGGACAAAGGCCUCCGGAAUGUAGCUCCCCUCGGGGAGUGUUAUAGCCGGGGGUGCAAUGCGGCCAGCCCGGACCGAGGACCGCGCU
rnacentral:sRNA from 1 species